rnacentral:rRNA from 1 species
ACGAGAAAGUGGAGCAAUCCAUGAGUAAAGUGGCGACCGGGUGAGUAACACGUGACUAACCUACCUCCGAGUGGGGAAUAACUCCGGGAAACCGGGGCUAAUACCGCAUAACAUCGCAAGAUCAAAGCAGCAAUGCGCUUGGAGAGGGGGUCGCGGCUGAUUAGCUCGUUGGCGGGGUAACGGCCCACCAAGGCGAAGAUCGGUAUCCGGCCUGAGAGGGCGCACGGACACACUGGAACUGAAACACGGUCCAGACUCCUACGGGAGGCAGCAGUGGGGAAUUUUGCGCAAUGGGGGAAACCCUGACGCAGCAACGCCGCGUGGAGGAUGAAGCCCUUUGGGGCGUAAACUCCUUUCGACUCGGACGAUAAUGACGGUACGAGUGGAAGAAGCACCGGCUAACUCUGUGCCAGCAGCCGCGGUAAUACAGAGGGUGCGAGCGUNGUUCGGAA